GUUGUGUUUUACUUGGUUCUGUCCUGUGUUUCAUGCAUCCUGAGUUUUGUUUAAUACAUUUUAAUAUUGUUGUAAAUAGAUCCUGCUUCAACUACUUCUUUUGCCACCACCUGUGACAGAAUAACGGACCAAAUUAUAAUGGAUCUACCAGCAAAGAAAAUCCUUCUUCUCUCAAAGGGUAACCAGGUAACUAGAGAGGCACACAAAGGAGUUUUUAGGCCUUUGCCAUCUUGUCCCAUAUGAUGACGACUGCCUGUUUGUUUUUUCGGACAAACCUCAACGCUAAAACGAGACUGCGUGUGCCCGGAAAUGAGCCUCUAGGGACUUUCUUGGAGUAAGUGGAGUGGAUACUCCUCCACAACGGUGCCCCCUUCACCAUCUAUAAGAGUGGGGAGGAAGUUGGCGCUUCGGCCACUACCACCACCAGUGAUGCCUGAGACCACCGCAGACAAUGAGCCCAAGCCUGCCACAAUAGGAGAGCCUGAGCUGAAGCCAGAACAUGAAGUCUGACCAAAUCAAAGAAGUCUGAUCAGGUGCGUGAGCUGGCAAAAGUGCCUGUGCCAGUGGGAUUACUGGUGGAGUACAGGGGGAUGUUAUGGAGCCCUACCCCCUCAGCAGCGGCAGAAGAUGGAGUGCUAACGGACUGAGAGAGAUGUGGAGUGAUUUUCAGCUGGAGCUGAGGAGGUUGGUUUAAGGGAAAAGUGUGAUUAUGUGUCUUGCAUAGGGUGGAGGUCACAAAUAAUCGUUCAUCUCAUCAUUCUACUCAUACCUAGACCUUCAUUCACUCUGACUCAGACACAAGGACAUAUGUAUCAGUCUAUAAAUAUUCUGUGCUUACACCUAAAGCAAAUUCACCCUUGUGCAUUCUUAAAGGCAUUCAGUUCAUGUAAGAAUGGAAAAACGGCCUCCCUGAAAAAGAAAUAGAUAACAUAAGGGCACUUACAAACACGUGCGCACACCUUCAAACACUAUGUUAUUAUUUGCAUUCAAAGUGACUGUUAAACUUACUACUACUGACAUGAUGCUAUACUACUAUGACAUAGUACUUGUUAAGCAGUGAAUGAACCAAAAAUGUCUCCUACGUUUCCUAAAAGUCUGCUUGGGUCAUUUGUAGGACAAUCUAGAUAUUUCUUUUUUUUUUUAAAUCAAAUGAAUUGUACAAAGGUGACACAUAAGAAUAAAAUGUUAUGUUAUUAAUGCAAUCUGAAUGUGUAUAUUUCUUAUGUGUAUGACAACUGUACUGAAACAUUCCCCUGUGAAAGUAUAAAAAAAAAAAACCCUUGUGCAUUCAUUAAAUGAGCCACGUGAUGGCACUGUUGUAUUAUAUUCCAG
ensembl:lncRNA